GAUGAACGCUGGCGGCAUGCCUAACACAUGCAAGUCGAUCGGUAAGGCUCUUCGGAGUACACGAGAGGCGGACGGCUGAGUAACGCGUAGGAACACACCCUGCAGUGAGGGAUAAGACACCGAAAGGUGUUCUAAUACCGCAUACGGUCUUCGGGUUAAAGCAUUUAUGCGCUGAAGGAGUGGCCUGCGUCAUAUUAGAUAGUUGGUGAGGUAAUGGCUCACCAAGUCGAUGAUGUGUAGCUGGUCUGAGAGGAUGAUCAGCCAGACUGGAACUGAGACACGGUCCAGACUCCUACGGGAGGCAGCAGUGAGGAAUAUUUCACAAUGAGCGAAAGCUUGAUGGAGCAAUGCCGCGUGCAGGAUGAAGGCCCUCGGGUUGUAAACUGCUUUUAUAAGAGAAGAUUAUGACGGUAACUUAUGAAUAAGGGACGGCUAACUACGUG
rnacentral:rRNA from 1 species